UAUUUAGACAUAGAUUAACACAACUUCUCCUUACUAAAUAUCUAAGCAUAAGCCGCUCACAUCAACCAGGCUGCUCUCUGUAAACUGACUGUUGGGUUUGUUUGGCUUUUCUUCUUCGACUGCCUUUACAAGGUUCAGUUGAGCAUAGAAGUUUAUCGCCCUCUACCGUGCAGGAUGAGAAGUUGCUAUAUAUUUUUUUAACAACAGCUGGGUCAAAGAUUCUGUAGUUAACUGCACCUCUCCUCUUAAAAUAAAUGGUAGGCCCUAACUGUUAGUUUUACAAGUGCACACACUAAAUGGAGAGGAUUAACUUAAAAUGCAGACUGCGCCUCUAAAUAGGCGACUUUUUAUAUAUCAGCACUAUUUCCACUAGACUAAUGUUUACCAAGCAUGCCAAAGCUUUGAUCUCUUAGCACUGUCACUUAUGUUUUUUCAUGGUGAGAUGGCCAUCCCGAUACAUUUUGGAUGACAUGGGGCGCAAGGUUCACGCAUUUCUCAUUCUGUACGCUAGAGGACGAUAGGCUUCCAUGCUAAACCGUCUCAAGGCAAUGGCUUGAGUAGAAGUGUAGAAGAAGAAAAGCACAACAAACCACACCGAUCCAUCGAACUACUGCGAAGAUAUAUUGUAGCCUAAGUUUUCACCUAUCCUACAGAAAAAAAAUCGAUUCUGCUGUUGGGAAGAUCACAAGGUUGUCCAUAACCGGAGGAGACUCUGUUAAAAAAACAGUGUUGCGGGUGUGCAGGAAGGUCAUCGGCGCUAAACUAGGCACCCAGUUAAACUGGUGUGGGAGGGGCCAGAAGACGGGCAUCAAAUCACGGCCGAUUCAUGAAAUUCUACUGAUGUCAGUGCUUAAAAACAAAACCCUAUCCAGCGCCACAGAAGCCGAGGUGGAGGCCGCCAUUCAGGCCUGGCUGCGGGUGAGCCUAGACAGGCUUGGAGGAGGGGGGAGAUGCAGACGAGCCCCACCAUAGCGCUCUAGAUUUGACUAGCGCUAACACAAGCAUAAAGGAGGAGACAGUCUGUCAGGAGGAGAAUCUCUGUUGUCUUGGCCUUCAGAUGUAGGCCUGUUGUUGAGAGAGAGAGAGAGAGAGCAAGUUUGUUUGUUCCUGUUUGUUCCUGUGUGUGUGUGUUUUUGCGUAUUUGCCUAUUGUUCUUCUCAUUUUGCAUACUGAUACUGAGUCUGAGUUCUGACAUUAAAGUUUCUUCACUUGAA